rnacentral:rRNA from 1 species
UACGGAGGGUGCAAGCGUUAAUCGGAAUUACUGGGCGUAAAGCGUGCGUAGGCGGUUCGUUAAGUCUGUUGUGAAAGCCCCGGGCUCAACCUGGGAAUGGCAAUGGAUACUGGCGAGCUAGAGUGUGUCAGAGGAUGGUGGAAUUCCCGGUGUAGCGGUGAAAUGCGUAGAGAUCGGGAGGAACACCAGAGGCGAAAGCGGCGACCUGGACAAGUACUGACACUCAACUACGAAAGCGUGGGGAGCAAACAGG